rfam:Beijerinckia indica subsp. indica ATCC 9039, complete genome.
GGCCUUUUUAAAUUGGGCGAGACGCUUUAUAUAGAACCUGCCGCUCUGCGGCUAUGGCGAUAAACGGCUUCGAAAUAAGCUCUUCGGACCCGGGGGCGGUACCCGGCGCCUCCACCAAAGCCCAAAGGCUCGAUUUGGCCAUUGGUUUUUGGCGGGGGCGAAAUAGGUUCGACGGGGGGUGUAAAGGAUGACCUUUCGCUCGGCAUGGUUCCGCCGUCAUCGGGCCGAUUUUAUAGUUGCCAACGACAACUAUGCUCCGGUGGCCGUUGCCGCGUAAUGCGGUAAUAGUACCGAUUCAAAGCCCUUGUGGGUAGCACUUCAAGGCGGGGUUCGGAGGCACCUGGCAACAGAAGCCUCCACU